GACGAACGCUGGCGGCGUGCUUAACACAUGCAAGUCGAACGGAAAGGCCCUGCUUGCAGGGUACUCGAGUGGCGAACGGGUGAGUAACACGUGGGUGAUCUGCCCUGCACUUCGGGAUAAGCCUGGGAAACUGGGUCUAAUACCGGAUAGGAGCCAUUUUUAGUGUGAGGGUUGGAUAGUUUUUUCGGUGUGGGAUGAGCUCGCGGCCUGUCAGCUUGUUGGUGGGGUAAUGGCCUACCAAGGCGGCGACGGGUAGCCGGCCUGAGGGGGUGGACGGCCACAUUGGGACUUAGAAACGGCCCAGAAGCCUACGGGGGGCAGCAAGGGGGAAUAUUGCACCAUGGGCACAAGCCUGAUGCAGCGACGCCGCGUGGGGGAUGACAGGCUUCGGGUUGUAAACUCCGUUCGCUAGGGACGAAGCUUUUUGUGACGGUACCUGGAUAAGAAGCACCGGCUAACUACGUG
rnacentral:rRNA from 1 species